UACGUAGGGUGCGAGCGUUGUCCGGAAUUAUUGGGCGUAAAGAGCUUGUAGGCGGUUUGUCGCGUCUGCUGUGAAAAUCCGGGGCUCAACCCCGGACUUGCAGUGGGUACGGGCAGACUAGAGUGUGGUAGGGGAGACUGGAAUUCCUGGUGUAGCGGUGAAAUGCGCAGAUAUCGGGAGGAACACCAAUUGCGAAGGCAGCUCGCUGGGACGUCACUGACGCUGAGACGCGAAAGCGUGGGGAGCAAACAGG
rnacentral:rRNA from 1 species